GACGAACGCUGGCGGCGUGCUUAACACAUGCAAGUCGAACGGAAAGGCCCUGCUUUUGUGGGGUGCUCGAGUGGCGAACGGGUGAGUAACCCGUGAGUAACCUGCCCUUGACUUUGGGAUAACUUCAGGAAACUGGGGCUAAUACCGGCUAGGAGCUCCUGCUGCAUGGUGGGGGUUGGAAAGUUUCGGCGGAUGGGGAUGGACUCGCGGCUUAUCAGCUUGUUGGUGGGGUAGUGGCUUACCAAGGCUUUGACGGGUAGCCGGCCUGAGAGGGUGACCGGCCACAUUGCGACUGAGAUACGGCCCAGACUCCUACGGGAGGCAGCAGUGGGGAAUAUUGCACAAUGGGCGGAAGCCUGAUGCAGCAACGCCGCGUGCGGGAUGACGGCCUUCGGGUUGUAAACCGCUUUCGCCUGUGACGAAGCGUGAGUGACGGUAAUGGGUAAAGAAGCACCGGCUAACUACGUG
rnacentral:rRNA from 1 species